AGAGUUUGAUCAUGGCUCAGAGCGAACGCUGGCGGCGUGCUUAACACAUGCAAGUCGAACGCGCAGCAUUCUGUAGCAAUACAGGGUGUGGGCGCGUGGCGAACGGGUGCGUAACACGUGGAUAACCUUCCUUGAGGUGGGGAAUAACCCAGUGAAAAUUGGGCUAAUACCGCAUAACAUCGCGAUGGCACAUGCUGAUGCGAUCAAAGGCGCAAGUCGCCACAAGAGGGAUCCGCGGCCGAUUAGCUUGUUGGCGAGGUAAUGGCUCACCAAGGCAAUGAUCGGUAGCCGGACUGAGAGGUUGGCCGGCCACACUGGAACUGAGACACGGUCCAGACUCCUACGGGAGGCAGCAGUGGGGAAUCUUGCACAAUGGACGAAAGUCUGAUGCAGCAACGCCGCGUGGGGGAUGAAGCUUCUCGGAGUGUAAACCCCUUUCGACCCGGAAGAAUGCCCGCAAGGGUAUGACGGUACGGGUAUAAGAAGCCCCGGCUAACUACGUGCCAGCAGCCGCGGUAAUACGUAGGGGGCCAGCGUUGCUCGGAAUUACUGGGCGUAAAGGGUCCGUAGGCGGUGUAGCAAGUCGAUAGUGAAAUCUCUGGGCUUAACCCAGAGGCUGCUAACGAAACUGCUGUGCUAGAGUGUGAGAGAGGCGAGUGGAAUUACGGGUGUAGCGGUGAAAUGCGUAGAUAUCCGUAGGAACAUCCGAGGCGAAGGCGGCUCGCUGGAUCACAACUGACGCUGAGGCGCGAAAGCUAGGGGAGCAAACAGGAUUAGAUACCCUAGUAGUCC
rnacentral:rRNA from 1 species